GGGUCAUGACCGGCGCAUGGGUCCAAUGGACGUAAUCCACUAAACCCAAGCAAGCCUAUUAUUUAUCUUACUUAUGAUUCUAUUUAUUACCACUAAGUCCUAUUUCAUGACUUUGAGUCAAAAUAGUGAUAUACAUUGCCAACUCGUACUGGCAUUACUCUUUUAAAAUUUACAUUAAGUUCAUCUAUACAUAACAAAAUAAUACUCGACCUCUAGCGGAGUGACUCGGAUGGAUAUACAGCUACCGAAUGCCGAGACACCUACCAAAAGAUGUACACAGAUCUACAAGGACACCUCAUCCUAAUUAUCGGCUACCUCGUGAUCUGAAAACAUGAAUUUGAAAAUGGUGAGUAUAAACCCAGUGAGUGAACAAGGAAGGGAACAAGCAACAAUUAGGAAAAAUUUAAAAUCAUGAUGCACUUGUUUCAAACAAUGCAAUUUAGUUCAUUCCUAUUUAAAACCCCUCCAAACCCCAGAGUUUUUCGCUACAGCGAGCAUGAAUUUCGAUGCAGUGAAAACAAAGCAACAAGAGAAACAUUUUUCCUCACUCAACAAAAGCCAUCCUGCUAAACUAAUAAAAUCAACCUAACAUUCAUGAAAAUUCUCAAAGUAUAAUGUGUCAAAUUUUACGUACAUUACAACCAUAAAUCAUUGUCCAUCAAUUUGCUAUAUCACACACAUUUAUAUAUAUAUAUAUAUAUAUAUACGUAUAUACCCAUCAUCAUCAUCUCACCAACCCAUCAUCAUCAUCACCAGCUCAUCAUCAUCAUCACCAGCUCAUGCGCACUCCCUACUCGCACAUGGCUGGGUCAUCACCGGGUUAUGCGCACUCCCUACUCGCACAUAACCGGGUCAUCCUCGGCUUAUGCGCACUCCCUACUCGCACAUAGCCGAGUCAACAUAAUUACACAACAUUAUAUUCAAGCAUAUAUGUAUAUCAACAUAAUGCAGCCACAUAGAAAUCCAUAAUAACCACAUUUCAUAACAUAAACCUUUUCUCAAAAGCUUGUUCCCAAGGCAUUCAUUUUCAUGAAAAAUUGCAUAAAAUCAUUCAAACACUUUGUUCAAAACAGUCAUAUUCCCAAAACAAUUUUGAUAGGCAGUCCACUCACAGGUGUCGAAAAUCCGGAUUCCGGGUGAACUCUGACUAAUAGUCCUCAGGCGUAAUUCCUUUGCCUUUUCCGGACGUCUCACCACCUUGACAAAUAACAAAGUCGAGGAAUUUACUAUAUUGUCCCUAAAUUGAUAUAAAUUAAUUUAAAUUACUAAUGCUUGAUAUGUAAAUGCAAAAAUAUGUCCGAUUACCGCUUAAUCACGGUAUCGAUUAAAUUCGACCGAUCACCCGAUUAAUCGGCGAUUGUGUCCAAAUCACCUCCAAAUUAAUUCAUUUCUCCUCUAAUACCUUAAUUUACCACAUACAUUUAAAUAAAGCCAAAUUCAGCAUUAGAACCCUCACAGUUCCUUAUAGAAAAAUUUGGUCAUUUGGUGCACUAGCAUCGAAUUUUUUUCUACAUAACCGUUUCACCUUAAUUCAUCAUUUUCCAAGCCAUUUUCCUUGAAAUAAAAACAAUCCCCCAUUGAUAUUCAGCCCUCAUGGUUCGACCAACAAGGAACCCUAGAGAAAUUGAAUAUUUCUUUUGUGUUUUUGUUCAUAACCAUGCUUAACUAUCCCUAAACACUAACAUAGUCUAAAAUCAAAUUAUUCCAACAACAAUUCCUCUUCCAUACCCAUUUUUCAGAAUUGAAUUCAUCAUGAUAACUCAAUAUUCAACCAUGGAAAUCAAGAACAAAAGCAUGGGUAAGCUAGGUAUCAAGGAGAAUUAAAGAAAUUUUAACUUACCUAGCUUGUUUCCUUGAUUUCUUCACUUUUUCUUUGAAUUUCCACCUAGGUUUUCUUGUUUUUCCUUUUGUUCUUCCUUUUUUCUUGUUGCUGGAUGUCUAGGCCGAAUAUGGUGAGGGAAUUGGGGAUUUAAUGGGCUGAUUUCUAUAGAAAAUAAUAAAAUAAUCAAGCAUGCCAUGUGUCACAUGCUUAUUGGCCCAAUUUUUAACUUUUUGACUUUUUCUUCUUAAUUUUCCACCACAAAUAUUCUGGUAUUUAUCCAAUCCUACCACAAUUAAAAUCCCUUGGUCUUGACAAGUGCUGGGCCGAAAAUUUUACUGAUUUGCCCCCGAGACAAAAAAAUUACGAUUUUGCCCUUAUACUCCGAAAUGUACCGGAAUCUCAUUAUUUCUACUUUUCAACCUAAAAUAACACUAAUAUUGAUCAAUAUUAACCAAAUGGGGCAAAAAUUGUUUAAAAAAAUUUUCGUUUAGUCCACUAGUGGCAAAAUUACCAUUUUGCCCUUCUGCUCCAUAAAUACCGGGAAUCACAAUUUUUCACUACUAAACAUCAUUUUAUACUCCAAUAAUCAUAAUUAUAUUUCAUAUAAUUAUUCUUGGUCAAAUGUGAUCAAAUCUUGGCUAAAAAUCUCCAUUUUAUCAUCAAAUGGUAAAAUGACCGUUUUGUCCCUAAUUGGUCAAUUUUCUGAUGGACUCCAAACUGGACCUUGAACUCCAAAUCACUAUUCUAAGCCAUUCUGUUGGUUUUAAAAUUUUCAAAUUCCUCUUAGAAUUUCUAUUUGAACUAGUUCAAGGCUCGAUUUAACUUAGUUGUACCACUCGAUACAAUACCGUCUUUUAAUCGAGCUUGACAGGGUCUCACAUUCUCCCCCACUAAUAAAAAUUCGGUCCCCGAAUUUAAAUUCAAUGUAGAGUGGGUUACCUUUACAUAUCGAAGAGGUGUGGAUGCUUUGUCCGCAUGUCAUCCUCAGCUUCCCACGUUACCUCCUCGCUAGUGUGAUUCCGCCACAACACUUUCACUGAGGCUACAUCCUUUAAACGGAGCUUUUUAACUUGCCUAUCAAGGAUAGCUACCGGUUGUUCCUCAUAGGUUAGAUCAUCUUGCAACUGAAUAGUUUCAUACCGUAUUACAUGUGAUGGAUCUGGGUUGUACUUCCUAAGCAUGGACACAUGAAACACGGGAUGAAUAUUAGAAAGGUCUGGCGGUAAUGCCAAACGAUAAGCCACCGCUCCAACCUUUUCUAAGAUCUCGAAUGGCCCUAUAUACCGAGGACUUAACUUCCCUUUCUUGCCAAACCUCAUUACCCCUUUAGUUGGCGAAACUUUCAAAAAUACAUGAUCUCCUACUUGGAACUCCAAGUCUCUCCGUCGGUUAUCAGCAUAUGAUUUCUGUCUACUUUGUGCUGUUAACAUCCUCUGACGGAUCAUGUGUAUUUUCUCGGUUGCAUCCUGCACCAAUUCAGGCCCCAAAAGUUUCCUUUCUCCCACCUCUAGCCAUCCAAUGGGUGACCUACAUCUUCGUCCAUAUAAGGCCUCAAAUGGUGCCAUUUGGAUGCUAGUUUGGAAACUGUUGUUGUAGGCAAAUUCCACUAAGGGUAGAUAUUGUUCCCACCUGACACCAAGGUCUAUCACACAAGCCCUCAACAUAUCCUCCAAUGUCUGUAUGGUCCGUUCAGAUUGUCCAUCAGUCUGAGGGUGGAAAGCUGUGCUGAAAUCCAACUUAGUGCCCAAUGCUUCUUGCAACUUUCCCCAAAACCUACUAGUAAACUGAGCUCCUCUGUCAGAUACUAUAGAAAUGGGAAUACCAUGUAGUCGCACUAUCUCAUCCACAUAAACUCGAGCAUAUUGGGCAGCCCCAUAAGUAGUCUUAACCGGAAGAAAAUGAGCUGACUUUGUUAACCGGUCCACUACUAUCCAAAUUGAAUCAUAUCCCCCACUGGUUCGAGGCAAACCCGUUACAAAGUCCAUAGCAAUAUGUUCCCACUUCCACUCGGGUACUGGUAAUGGCUGUAGUAGCCCUGCAGGCUUUUGAUGCUCGGCCUUAACCUGCUGACAAACCAGGCACUUGGAGACAAACUCAGCUACAUCUCUCUUAAGUCCUUCCCACCAAUACACCUCUUUCAAAUCUUGAUACAUCUUUGUAGCCCCUGGAUGUACCACAUAAGCUGCCAUGUGAGCUUCCUCCAAUAUUUCUCUCCUCAACCCGUCACCAUCAGGCACAUAAAGUCUGGUUCCAUACCUCAACACUCCAUCUGUGCCUUUAGUAAACAUUUUUCCUUUCCUACCCUGAGGAUCCUCUAAGGCCUUAAUCACAAACUCAUCUUUACUUUGUGCUUCUUUAAUCCUGUCCAUUAAAAUAGGCCUCACUCUAAAGUGUGCUAGCAAAGCAUUUGUCUCCGCAACUUCCAAACGCACACCUAUGUCUCCCAAGCUAUGGAUCUCUCUAACCAAAGAUCUCCUACCAAUGGAAAUAUGUGCCAAGCUUCCCAUUGAUUUUCGACUCAAGGCAUCCGCCACUACAUUGGCCUUACCGGGAUGAUAAAGAAUAGUACAAUCAUAAUCCUUUAGCAACUCCAUCCAUCUACGUUGCCGUAAGUUAAGAUCCCUCUGCUGAAAUAUAUACUUCAGACUUUUGUGGUCCGUGUAUAUCUCGCAAGUCUCACCAUACAAGUAAUGUCUCCAAAUCUUUAAGGCAAACACGAUUGCUGCCAUUUCCAAAUCGUGUAUGGGGUAAUUCUGCUCAUGCCUUUUAAGUUGCCUAGAUGCAUACGCAAUCACCUUCCCAUGUUGCAUUAAUACACAUCCUAAACCAACCCCCGAUGCAUCACAAAACACCGUGUAACCCCCUGUGCCUUGCGGAAGGCUUAACACUGGAGCUGUGGUGAGACAUGCCUUAAGCUUCUCAAAACUAUUCUCACAAGCAUCAGACCACUCAAAUUUUGUAUCUUUACGUGUCAGCUUAGUCAAAGGGGCAACUAUUUUGGAGAAGUCUUUCACAAAGCGACGAUAAUAGCCAGCUAAACCCACAAAGCUUCUAAUCUCCGUAACUGAUGUUGGCCUUGGCCAUUUUUCCACUGCUUCAAUUUUCUUUGUAUCAACUUGUAUCCCCUCCUUAGAUACCACAUGCCCCAAGAAUGCAACACUUUCGAGCCAAAACUCACACUUGGAGAACUUAGCAUACAAUCGAUGUUCUCUCAAAAUUUGGAGCACUAUCUUAAGAUGCUGCUCAUGCUCCUCUCGACUCUUUGAAUAUAUCAAAAUGUCAUCAAUAAACACCACCACAAACUUAUCCAAAUAAGGUUUGAACACUCGGUUCAUCAAAUCCAUAAAGGCUGCAGGAGCAUUCGUGAGCCCAAAUGACAUCACUAAGAACUCAUAGUGCCCAUAUCUUGUUCGAAAUGCGGUCUUGGGUAUAUCUUCGUUCCGGAUUCUCAACUGAUGGUACCCAGAUCGCAGAUCUAUCUUAGAAAAACAUUGUGCUCCUUGUAGUUGAUCAAAUAAAUCAUCUAUCCUUGGGAGAGGAUAUUUAUUCUUCACCGUCACUUUAUUAAGCUGUCGAUAAUCAAUGCACAGCCUAAGUGACCCAUCUUUCUUCUUCACAAAUAACACUGGUGCUCCCCAUGGGGAUACACUAGGUCGUAUGAAACCUUUAUCCAACAAAUCCUCCAACUGAUCCUUAAGCUCUUUAAGCUCUGCAGGUGCCAUUCUAUAUGGGGGUAUGGAUAUAGGUCUAGUGUCGGGAAUCAAAUCUAUGCAAAACUCAAUCUCCCGUUCAGGAGGCAAACCUGGUAGCUCCUCGGGAAAUACAUCCACGAACUCCUUCACCACCGACACUUGAGUUACAUCUCCAAUCUUUGCCUGACUAUCCUUUACAACAGCCAAGUAACCUAUACAACCCUGUCGUAAUAAUCUUCUGGCAGAUAUGACCGAUAUCAAAUUGGUUGGAGCAUUACUCCUAUCCCCCUGAAUACUAAAUGAUGGUUCACCGGGGAAAUCAAAUCUAACCAAUUUAUGAUAGCAGUCCACACUAGCAUGGCAGGGUGAUAACCAAUCCAUCCCCAAGAUUACAUCAAAGUCUAAGGUGUCUAGCACCACUAGAUUCACCGAAGUGUCUUUGUCCUUGACUCGCACUACACAGGACUCAUAUUCCCACUCGGCCACAAAUAUCUCCUUUAAAGGAGUAGACACCACUAAUUGUUCCUCUCUCCUAACACGACCUCUACCCAACCGAGAUGCAAAACAUGGAGAGAUAAAAGAAUGGGUAGCACCAGGAUCAAAUAGUACUCGAGCAUUCAUAUUACAAACGGAGAGAAUACCUGAGACCACGGCAUUGGAUGUUUGAGCCUCCUGCUGUGUUAAAGCAAACACCCUCGCUUGGCCUCUACCAAUAGAACUUUGAUGUCCGGACCCAGAUGGUCUGCCUUGAGAGGAAGUACCCGCACCUCUACCUCUCAAUCCACUAACCUCCCGGCCAGAUGAGACAGCAACUGACGGAGCAGAUGAAGCUGGCUGGGUGGAACCACGAGCAGAAUCUGGUGAUUGAUGUGCCAUCGGACAAUCCCUCAUAAUAUGCCCAGGUUGACCGCACCCGUAACAAGUUCUUGUAGUAAGGAAGCACCGUCCACUAUGUCGUCUCCCACAAGUAUCACAAGAGCGAAUGACUUGACUACUCUGUCUAGAAUCUUGCUGCCUCCUAGAACUGAAGGUUCUCUGUCCCACCCUAAUAUUAGCACCAGGUGCGUCACUCCCCUACUGAGGUAACCGUGAGUCCCUCUGUGGACCUUGACGGCUAGAAGAUGAACCACCACUGCUGAAAUCUCUACGGCCCUGAUAACCCUCUGUCUUGCCCCUUUUUGCUCUAUCUCUCGCAGCCCUACUCUCACUGGUCUUCAUCUCAAUGCGUUGAGCACGAUCCACUGCUGCAGAAUAGGUAGUGAAAUCUCGGGAUGCCACAGCCCUAAAUAAUGGCUCCACUAACCCAUCCACAAACCUCCAAAUCUUCAUCUCCUCAGUAGAAACGAGAUAGGGCGCAUAACGAGCUAGCUGCAUGAACUUGAUGUCAUACUCAGACACCGUCAUGCUUGAAGUCUGUACCAAAGUCUCAAAUUCUCUGGCUCAGGCAUUACGCACACUGAGUGGUAAGAAUCGAUCUAAGAAGGCUGCACUGAACUCACUCCAGGCCAACGGUGUUGCAUUAGUCGGUCUGCCUCUACAUAAAGAGCUAUACCAUUCCUGCGCCACAUCCUCUAAUUGGAAGGCGGCUAGCUCAACUGACCGAACACUAGAACAUCCCAAGGCUUUACAAAUUUUCUCCAUCUUAUCCAAGAAAACCUGGGGUUUCUCCGAUGCAUCAGACCCUGAAAAUGUUGGAGGCUUAAGCUUGAGAAAGUCAGGAAGAGAAAUAUCUAGAUGUCCCCUCUCCUCCUCAUGAUGUUGGUGAUCGGCCUGUCCUUGGGAGCUAGGGGAUUCUUGUACUGUAGGUCUCCCCUCUACUACCCUUUGUAUAUCUUCCAUGCGGGUCGCCAUCAUCUCUACAACCCGGUUAACUCCCUGUAGGCCUGUCGCCAAAUCCUCAAUAGUAAUACCCCCAACUGGGUGUCUAUCUACAUCACCUGAGGACUGUCCCUCUUCUUGCCUACUCACAAGCGUAUCCAACCCCACCGGCCUAGUGACCCUGCCACGUCUACCUCGGCCUCUCUGGGUGGAUGCCCGUGGUCUAUCUGCCAUCUCAAUGGGAGCAUCUUGCUCCCUUGCCCGUCUUGUGGCGGCUCGUGUCUUAGGCGGCAUUCUUACCUAGACAAAAGAAAACGCCUGUUAUUAAACACAUAUUAUAAUCAUACUUAAAGCAAAAGGUGGUUUCUAAGAUAGGGAAUCUAUGCGGUCAUUUGGUUGUAAAAUGUGUCGCGGUUCACACUUUACAACUGAAGUUCCCACAUAAAGACCCGACUCUCCGCUGGACUAACAAAAAGGAAGUUCUAGGACCUAGACAAACCUAGGGCUCUGAUACUUAUAUUGUCACGACCCAAAUUUCGGGUCAUGACCGGCGCAUGGGUCCAAUGGACGCAAUCCAUUAAACCCAAGCAAGCCUGUUAUUUAUCUUACUUAUGAUUCUAUUUAUUACCACUAAGUCCUAUUUCAUGACUUUGAGUCAAAAUAGUGAUAUACAUUGCCAACUCGUACUGGCAUUACUUUUUUAAAAUUUACAUUAAGUUCAUCUAUACAUAACAAAAUAAUACUCGACCUCCAGCGGAGUGACUCGGAUGGAUAUACAGCUACCGAAUGCCGAGACACCUACCAAAAGAUGUACACAGAUCUACAAGGACACCUCGUCCUAAUUAUCGGCUACCUCGUGAUCUGAAAACAUGAAUUUGAAAAUGGUCAGUAUAAACCCAGUGAGUGAACAAGGAAGGGAACAAGCAACAAUUAGGAAAAAUUUAAAAUCAUGAUGCACUUGUUUCAAAACAAUGCAAUUUAGUUCAUUCCUAUUUAAAACCCCUCCAAACCCCAGAGUUUUUCGCUACAGCGAGCAUGAAUUUCGAUGCAGUGAAAACAAAGCAACAAGAGAAACAUUUUUCCUCACUCAACAAAAAGCCAU
rnacentral:lncRNA from 1 species